GUGAUGGGAGAGGCACCAACGGACCACCGAAACUCGGCUUGGAUAGACAGAGACCAGAUUACAGAUUUGCCGCAAACACCUAUGACAGUGACAAUGAAGAACAGUGUUCGCAGUUUGGUGGAUUCUUACUUGGAAGGACAUAACGGAAGGAAACAAAACCAAUGACGGCGUGGAGGGUCCCAACUGUCGUCAUCUCGGCUGUCACACCAACACCGGGGGCUGAGCUACUCCCGUCCACGGCGCACGCGUCGUGAGCGCGUCGUGAGCGCGUCGUGCGGAGCGUCCUAAAGGUGAGGCUGCAAUGUCGAGACGCCGUUGCAGAGCAAUUGGCGGACACGGGCGUUCUGUAGAAAGGAGACACUCAUUUUUACCCGUAAAUUAGUUUUUUUUGGGUUAGAUUUAGUAAAUAUGAAAGUGUCGUUAAACCCGCCACCACCCGGCAUAGCCAAUUAGUAAGUACGUAACGUACAUGGAACUUCUUUUCCACGAUACUUAGCCAAACGUGCUAACCGGCAGUGCGGGUGGAGGGCACAACAAGCGAAACACAAACGAGCACUUCUAAAUAAAUGAGUGCUACCAAUGCGCCACAACACAGCCGCCCACAUAGCGGGGCGAAGGGAGUUCCCGACAGUGGGAGCAGCAGAAGAG